UGUGUGUGUGUGUGUGUGUGUGUGAGAGAGAGAGAGAGAGAGAGAGAGAGAGAGAGAGAGAGAGAGAGAGAGAGAGAGAGAGAGAUAUUCUCUUCCAUUUUGUGUUUUAAACUCCACAUUUUUCUCCUUCGAUAUCAGUUCACAGUGAAAAUGAAAGUCAGCUCGUUUUUGUGACGACAGAAAUAACGGAACCUUUUCAUUAUCUUUUUUCAUGAAAGAUCACACCUUGGCAACUAGCCAUCCUGAAAAAUAUGAAGAUGAAAUGAGUGUGUGUGAGUGAAUGAUAGUGUGUUUGCCCUGCGAUGGGUUGGCACUCCGUCCAGGGUGUAUCCUGCCUCGAUGCCUGAUGACGCCUGAGAUAGGCACAGGCUCCGCGUGACCUGUCUGCUAAUGUAUUUUGAGAGAUUCUGUCCUGAAUCAUUAAUCUUACAAGUCAGAGCUACGACAGAUGCCUACACCUGUAGAUAAUAUUCAGGAUGUAUUCAGGAUGAUAUCGUCUAUUUCUGUUUACCAUUUUUAAACCGAAAAGCUUUAUGUAGAACAUCAUCCUCAACAUAGAGCUGAAACAGACGACCAUGUGUUUCUGUUGCAUUAGAAAUACACGUGUUGUGCAGUUUUUUAAUAGAUUCAUUCUUUUCUUUAGUGCCGUGUUAAAGUACAGGACAUUUAUAUUGAAAUGUCACAUGCAACAUUAACCUCUUGUGGACAUGCAGAUAUAUUACCUUUACACAUUAUUAAUGCUGUCAGUAAUAAAAACUCAUUGUUUGUUUAACACUC